CUCUACAAGUGCGUCCAUGUCUGGGCCAUGUCUUGUACUGCAGCUUAAGAGGUCUCUACAAGUGCAUCCAUGUCUGGGCCAUGUCUUGUGCUGCAGCUUAAGAGGUCUCUACAAGUGCAUCCAUGUCUGGGCCAUGUCUUGUGCUGCAGCUUAAGAGGUCUCUACAAGUGAAUCCAUGUCUGGGCCAUGUCUUGUGCUGCAGCUUAAGAGGUCUCUACGAGUGAAUCCAUGUCUGGGCCAUGUCUUGUGCUGCAGCUUAAGAGGUCUCCACAAGUGCGUCCAUGUCUGGGCCAUGUCUUGUGCUGCAGCUUAAGAGGUCUCUACAAGUGAAUCCAUGUCUGGGCCAUGUCUUGUGCUGCAGCUUAAGAGGUCUCUACAAGUGAAUCCAUGUCUGGGCCAUGUCUUGUUCUGCAGCUUAAGAGGUCUCUACAAGUGAAUCCAUGUCUGGGCCAUGUCUUGUGCUGCAGCUUCAGAGGUCUCUACAAGUGCGUCCAUGUCUGGGCCAUGUCUUGUGCUGCAGCUUAAGAGGUCUCCACAAGUGCGUCCAUGUCUGGGCCAUGUCUUGUGCUGCAGCUUAAGAGGUCUCUACAAGUGAAUCCAUG